AUUGAACGCUGGCGGCAGGCCUAACACAUGCAAGUCGAACGGUAGCACAGAGAGCUUGCUCUCGGGUGACGGGUGGCGGACGGGUGAGUAAUGUCUGGGAAACUGCCCGAUGGAGGGGGAUAACUACUGGAAACGGUAGCUAAUACCGCAUAACGUCGCAAGACCAAAGUGGGGGACCUUCGGGCCUCACACCAUCGGAUGUGCCCAGAUGGGAUUAGCUAGUAGGUGGGGUAAUGGCUCACCUAGGCGACGAUCCCUAGCUGGUCUGAGAGGAUGACCAGCCACACUGGAACUGAGACACGGUCCAGACUCCUACGGGAGGCAGCAGUGGGGAAUAUUGCACAAUGGGCGCAAGCCUGAUGCAGCCAUGCCGCGUGUAUGAAGAAGGCCCUCGGGUUGUAAAGUACUUUCAGCGGGGAGGAAGGCGGUGAAGUUAAUAACUUCACCGAUUGACGUUACCCGCAGAAGAAGCACCGGCUAACUCCGUGCCAGCCGCCGCGGUAA
rnacentral:rRNA from 1 species